ACUUUGUUUUCAGUCGAUUGGAUUCGAAACCGAAAAAGAAAUUGAGACCCUUAAACCUUAAUUCCUGAUCACAGAAUGUUUUCGGAGUAAGAUGAUCGUUUUCACCGGACAAUUCUGGAGUUUCUGCAGUUGGAGGGUUUCGAGCGAAAGUGGUCAACGAGAACUGUGUCCAAAACUGUUGACUUUCUGGAUCCCGGGGACCGGUCGGGAUUCAAGACCAUUCACCAUCCAUGAGGUGCAAUAUCCGGGUCGAUCCAAACAUGGAGGAAUCAUGGGCAGCCAUCCAAAUUCGACUACCAUCGGUGAUAUUAGUCCGACGUUGCAUUGAUUGCGGAUGUUAUCCUCUCAAAAAAUUAUACGAUGUAUGCAGAACAAACAGAUUUGGCCAAGGACCGUUGAGUCGACUCAUAAAUUGUGGGAUGGAAAUCCGAUGAAUCGAUGGAUUCUUGGCUUCGAGAAAGUUUGCGUUCACUUUGAUUAGGGAAACUAAACCCAAUGA